UAACCCCAGCGCCACAAGUGGGAACCACGUUUAUUGGGUCUAAAGCAUCCGUAGCCUGUCAGACAAAUACCCUGUGAAAUCGUUACGCUCAACGUAACGGCGUGCAGGGUACACUACCUGACUAGGGACCAGGCGAAGUAGACGGUAUUCCAGAGGGAGCGGUAAAAUGUGAUAAUCUCUGGAGGACCACCGAUGGCGAAGGCAGUCUACCAGAAUGGAUCCGACGGUGAGGGAUGAAAGCUAGGGGAGCGAUCCGGAUUAGAUACCCGAGUAGUCCUAGCUGUAAACGCUGCGUGCCAGAUGUUGCGUAAUCCUCGAGAUUGCGCAGUGUCGUAAUGAAGAUGUUAAGCACGCCACCUGGGAAUUACGGUCGCAAGGCUG
rnacentral:rRNA from 1 species